AUAGUUGAACAUCAUCUUCAUUGAUAUACCCCUUUUAUGUUUUUUCAAUGAACCUCAUCUGUAAAUCAUUAACUGGAUUAUUAGAUAAGUGCUAAAUAAUCCCCAGCUGUAAAAUUCUAAGAAUAAUUAAAACUUCCUUUCUUAACAUUCUUAGUGAACAACUUACAGGUUAAAAAACAAACCCAAAGAGAUUAUUUCCUGCAAAGAGCCUUUAGUAUGGUAGCACCUACUUCUAGAAGGCCUGUCAUAAACUGUCAUCUAGUGAAAGUGAUGAAGAAGAGUGGCUGGGAGUCAAUCUUAUCAGGAGCUGGAACAGGUGAAGCCCUCACCAGUGAAAAAUCUUGACAGAUGCAGCUACUAAGAUUUCCUACUACAAAGAAUAACAGCAGUUAGAAAAGCAGGUUAGAGAGUUUUUUUUGUUCAACAAUACUUCAUUAUCUUACUUAUCCCAAUAAAAUUUACUCCCAUAGGAUAAGAGACUUAUAUUUGUUGGAAUACUUUUACCUUUGGAGGUGACUGGCAACUUACAUCAAAAAGACUUAAGUAAUGUAUGACAUAUAUCUAGAGUUAUAUUUGUUUGAAGAGAGAGAGCAAGUUGUUUAGAUAAGAGCUUGAUUCCUUGUUCAAAUGAUGUCAACAGAUUCAUUUCUUGGUUUUGCUUCUGAGUUGGCUCCAUUUAUAGGUGAGCCAGAUUUAGGCCCCCAGCAGCACAAAAGAGAGAGUUUGCUUCCCCAUUCAAUAGUCCCAGAAUUGUGCCUCAUUGUUCUGAUUGCACAGACUUGGCUUAUAUCCCUGACAUGAACCCAAACACGAUGACCAGGCAGUGAAACAAGCAGGUUGACUUAACCUUGGUCGUACACCAAACCCUCGUAGAUUGAGAGAGAGUUAGCCUCAUGCUAAGCACAUAAGCUGAAUGUGGGGAAGUCAGCACACUGUGUUCCAAAAACAGAGAAUAGAUAAUGAGUGUCAAGGACAACAGAUGAAACCUCCGUGUAUUAUCUUUGUUUUGUCCAAAAUGUAAAACCUCAAAGGGAGACAGUUCAAGGUCUCAUUUAAUUAAUGUAUCCAUCUUCAAGUCUAAACUCUCUGAGGGAUGUGCACCCAGUGAGAUUAGGAUACAGGUCCCCAUGGUUCACUGAUCCAUGGCUAGUAAGUUUAACCAUCCCUACAUACCCACUGUGCAAUGGGGAGGAAGGACCCAGUACCUAUAACCAAAACACAUAUAGAAAGGAUGAGGGGGAGUGGAAAACAAUGCACAAUGAAUCCUACUUCAUAGUACACACCUAUCCCAUGGGCAGGAAAAGCAAUGACUCACUGCUCUGGCCAGACAAAGUCCAAUGUGGCUGACCUUGGCUCUGACCUCUUAAAUCAUUGCCCAUUUCCAUUUAUUUCCCCAUAGCUCCUGGUUCUCGUCUGUGGAAGGAUCCCCCCUUGAGUAUUGUCCUACUUAAGAGCUGGGUACUGAGGAUGAUGUCCUUUCAGGGAGCUGCACCUUUUUUGAAGCCCACUUCAUUUUGGUGUAUGUCAGGAGCCCUGAUAAUUAUUUUAGACGUUGACCAGAAACCUUUGGUGACUUAUCUCCUCUUCUCAGAAAUUUCACAUUCUAGGUUCAAGAGUUUCUAAUACAACAUUCCAGAAGUUAAUUUUAAUACAUGUAGUGCCCUUUUACUUGAAAAAGAUAAAAAGCUCAAAUCAAUCUGGCUUAAGCAAAAGGGGAAUUUUUUGGUGUAGAUAACCGAGAAGUCCAGGGAUAGCAUUGGCUUCAGGUAGAACUUGAUUUCAGCUGUGCACAAUGCAUGGUCUAUUGAUCUGCUUCCUCUAUGUCUAUUUCAUCCUCAGACUCCCUGUGGUGGCGACCAGUAUCUUCAAACUCAUACCAGAGUAAAGCCUUAUCCAUUUGGAGUUCUUUCUGAUGCAUUAUGUGAGAAAAACAAGCAAACAAAUGAACACUUAUUUGUAUUUGAAUUGCACUAAAUUUAUACAUGAAACUGAAAAAAACUGAUAUCUUUAUGAAGCUGCAUAAUCCUAUCCAAGGACAGACGUCUCCUUCCAUUUGCUUUUGCUUUACUAAUUUGAAUCUAUGUUAUUUGUUUUGGAUACAUCUGGAAUUGACUUUUUUGCAUGGUGUAAGAAAUAACAGUUCUUCCUGGAUCAGCCCUCUCCCGUCUGUCAUCUCCAACAGAUACAAAGCCAGCUUUAAGAAGACCAAACCUACAAAAAUCAUUCAUGCUUUCUGCCUCCAUGUUUUUCUUUCCAACCUAGUUCCUCCAGAAAAUGUAAAAGAGCAACCGAACCGUCAACUGGUACAAUGACUUCUACACAUCAGACCUCGGCCACGCCACAGUCAUCAGAUUAUUCUAUCACAGGGUCUCUCAACCGUGGAAUAUGGUCUCCAAGGGAAACAAGCCACAGAGGGCUCAGGAGCAUUGCUAUAAAGAGUAGGCAAAUGGAAAUCUUUCCCCAAAGGGCACACUGGGAUUGUUAGGCGAGGGCUGCUCAAUCCAUUAAAAGUUUAAACUCGAAAAAAAAAAAGAAAAAAAAAACCUUUUGAAAAAAUACAGAAAGCAACCUGUUCUAGAUUUUGUGUAUAAAAGAGAGUUUAUUCAGGGGACUGAAAUGUUGACAGUGAAUCAACUGGGAGGAUAUUUUCAAUCAGAACCGUCUGACUGACAGCUUUCAUAUUAUUAAUGCACAUACUAGGAGACAUCAAAUUUGAAGGGCAGGCAUUGUGCUAAGUCAGACUUCUACCUUAAAAUGCAUUACAUUUUGUCUGUAAAUCAAGGUCAGUUAUUAAAUUAAGGUGCUCUCAUCCCUAAAUACUUUAUUCCAUCAUCGUGUGUAAUUAAUCACAAACCCCUUACUUGGGGUUCUUUAGAAAGUGAUGAGCAAAACCCAUAAAAAAUUAAGAGAAAAAAUAACAGGUAUCUUUUAAAAAACAGGGAAUAAGUGCAAGGAAAUUUAAGUAUAAGUAAAAAAAUUUGCACGAUUCUUUAAAUAGAUAAUAGAUAUAAUAAUAAUAAUUUUGCAGCCCUACAAUUCCACAGCAUAUUAAUCUUUUCAAAUCUGUUAUUUUUCACCAUUAAAACAAUCAUGUAAAACAGGUGGAGUACUUCAAUAUUCCAAUUUCACAGAUGCAUACACUGAGUCAAGGAAAAGUUAAGUAUCUAUUAAGUCAUCCAGCUUACUGGAUAUGGAACUGAGACUUGAAAGCAUAUCUUCUAAAUCCGACCUCUUCUCUAAAGAUAGUGUCACCUUUCUCCAAAGAUAGUGUCAGGACAUAGAAAGCAGAAGUUAAACUGUAUGCGCUAUUCUGCCUUCCAUACUUAUUUUUCCCAAGAAGUAAUUUAAAAAACACAUUGGAGAUAAUGCUUGUGAAGCACUUUGCUAAAUGCUAAAUUGUCCGAACACUUUGGAAAAAAGUGGCAGUUUCUUAAAAAAUUAACAAAGAAUUACCAUAUGACCCAGCAAUUCCACUCCUAGCCAUGUACUGAGGAGAACUGAAAAUAUAUGUCCAUGUAAAAACUUAGAGUUAAAUAUUUGUAGCAGCUUUAUUUAAAAUAGCCAAAAAGUGGAAACAACCCCCCAAAAAUGUGCCUCAGUGAUGGAUGUAUAAAUAAAACAUGUUGUAUACAUAACAAUGAAAUAUUAUUUAGCCACAAAAAGAAAUGAAGUUUCUUUUUAUAUUAGUUGGCCAUAAAAAGAAAUAAAGAGUUUUUUGUUUUGUUUUGUUUUGUUUUUUUGUAGCAUGUACUGACCUGGAAAACCUCAUGCUAAGUGAAAGAAGGCAGUUACAAAGGACCACAUAUUUUUGAUACCAUUUAUAUAACAUGUCUAGAACAGGCAAAUCUAGAGAGAUGGAAAGUAGGUUAGUGGUUGGCUAGUACUAGAGUAAGCAAGCAGGGAUUGGAGGGUAUUGGCUAAGGAAUACAGGGUUUCUUUCUGUGGUGCUUUUCUUAAAAAGUUCUAAAAUUGAUUGUUGUGUUGUUUGCACAAUGCUGUGAAUAUCCUAAAAGCUACUGAAUGAUACACUUUAAAUGGGUGAAUUAUAU
ensembl:lncRNA novel transcript